AGAGGUGCAAGCGUUAAUCAGAAUGACUGGGCGUAAAGGGCGUGUAGGUGGUUGACUGGUUUGAUGUGAAAUCCCCGGGCUUAACCUGGGAGUGGCGUCGAAAACGGGUUGACUAGAGUGAGAGAGAGGGUUGUGGAAUUUCCGGUGUAGCGGUGAAAUGCGUAGAUAUCGGAAAGAACAUCAGUGGCGAAGGCGACAACCUGGCUCUUAACUGACACUGAGGCGCGAAGGCGUGGGAGCAAACAGGAUUAGAUACCCUGGUAGUCCACGCGGUAAACGAUGAGAACUGGCUGUGAGGCGUGGGACUUCGGUUCUGCGCGACGUAGCGAAGCUAACGCGUUAAGUUCUCCGCCUGGGGAGUACGGCCGCAAGGUUA
rnacentral:rRNA from 1 species